UGGGGAAAGCGGGCAGUCGCGUUGUGUAUAAUGUACGAUGAGGAAAGUCCGAACUCCUGGGAACAGGGCGCUUCGUAACACGAAGGCAGCGAUUUUUGAUUUAUCAGAGAAAGUUGACGGAAAGUGCCACAGAAAAUAACCGCCAAUCCGCUCUCGAAAGAGGGGUCAUGGAGGUAAGGGUGAAAAGAUAGAAUUAAGACACUAUCGGCAUAGCAGGUGACUGCAAUGCCGGGUAAACCCCGCUCGGAGCAAGGUCAAAUAGGGGUAUCGGGCGAGAGCCGUCGAAGUUCCCUCGGCAGUAAAAACGAUAUUCGGGUAGACCGCUUGAAACUAACGGUGACGUUAGUUCCAGAUAAAUGAUUGCCUCCGGUUUUAGAACCGAAGACAGAAUUCGGCUUACAGCUUUCUUCAUCAA
rnacentral:RNase_P_RNA from 1 species